UGCUGUCCAGGAUAUUGUCCAGGUUUCUGACCAGGUUGUUGUCCAGGGUAUUGUCCAGGGUGCUGGCCAGGCUGCUGACCCGGUUGCUGUCCAGGAUAUUGUCCAGGUUGCUGACCCGGUUGCUGUCCAGGAUAUUGCCCAGGUUGCUGGCCGGUUUGCUUUACAGGUUGCUGUCCAGCCUGUUGACCAGGUUGUUGUCCCGAUGGUUUGUUCCAAGGAGAAUCCGCCGAUGGACUUCCUCCACUCAACGGUCCACUUUUAACAGGCCCCGAGGUCCAGGAAUCCGCACCCUCGCCCGGUGUACCCAGUUUCUGCACUCCUCCAGACCCGCCAGGUCUCUUCUUAUGACCAUGGUGAUGCUCCGGCCUGUACUGACCGUCGUCCCCGUCGUCGCAGUCAUCGUCGUUCUCCUCUUCCGGCUCCUCCCAGUCCUCUUCUUUCUCCCAGUCUUCCUCGUCUUCCCAUUGCUUCGGGCACUUGGGACAUCCGUUCCGGUCGACCUUGCCUCCGGCACCCGGAUGACUAGACGGAUGGCCAUGAUCGCUGCCUUCUUGGUUCUGGUUCGCGUAUCCGGCGCCGUCGUAGCUGCGGAUCCCCUUGUGGCCGUCAUGGUCACUUCCGGGAACGCCGCCGGCGAACGCAUCCGAACCGCUCAGCGCGAACGCGCCUGCAUUCGCGGAAGCGGAGGCGGAUGCGGACGCGCCGCCUGCAGCAAUGCGACAAUACGUUUCCACGUCUCGGCGGUCUUCGAAACUCCAAGUCCGAGUAGACACGAGUUUUUCUCGCAUUGUUACGGAAACCGGUCGACGCGAACCAGUUACGCAUGGAUCGUCGAUGAAAAUUGAUAGAUAAAAAAAAGAAUAGACGCAACUAUGAGCAAGCGGAAAAUCCUCGAAGAUCCUGGCGGACGUAACACGUGUUUUCGUACAAAGUAACGACCACUCGUAAUUGUCUGAUCGCGAGGCGGCAGGCUGUUAUUACGAGGCAGCUCGCGAGCUUGGCACACAGGACUUCGGCGACUAAUUUCCGUCAUCGGCGAAAAUUAAAGGAAAUACGUACUGUACGCGAGGCUGCCGCCGCCAGGGUUGGUCCUGUAGGCUCCUGAAAGCAGUGAUCGAAACGUGUCAGCGGUGGAUCCGAUGCGUCAACGCGUAUAAAUAGCGAGGAGGAAUGCGAGGACGAGCAGGGAAUCGCGAGUAGACUGAAGAAUACGCGUGCAAGAAGGAGCGCGAUACCGCGUGUGACACGGCGAAAGAGAAGCUGCGACAACAGUUACCUGAUCCGACGACGAGCGCGCCGAUAAAGAGUAGGACGGCCGGCGGUCCGAUCAUCUCCGGAUGAAUCGUCGCGGAUGGUUGAAUCGUUCCUUUGUGGUCCGCGAGUCACGGACCAUUGCGAAGCGAGUCCCUGUCGAAUACUUGUAUAUAUAAGGAUACCCCCAGCGAGGUGAAAGGAUACACGCAUCAUCAUCAUCAUCAUCCCCGACGAAGAGGCCCGGGGCGACGUGGGUGGCGACACGCGAUCGGCCAGCUCUUUCUAUCGCGGAACAGUCGCGGGACCUGUUCCAGGCGCCGGCUUUGUCUCUCAGGACUACGUCAUCCGGGUUUAGGAGUUUCCCGGGACUAAGAAUACAGCGCGCAGGAUCCUCAUGCAAAUCAGAGCGUGUAACAAGAAUAUUCUCGCUUCCGUCGAAUUUACGACGCACCGUCGCGUCGCGAUGAUUUGCCGCGAGAUUCUCAACCGCUGCAUUCUUCCCCGAUGACUUCAAAUUUAUUCCACCGAUCAUCGUUCGCCUAAAAUCCCUGGCGACGCGUGAAUCCUUUAGGAUCCGUAGGCAAAAGAUAGGUGGAUAUCUAGGAGAAGAUUAACGAAUAAUAAAUAACUGACAGAGAUAAUCAAGGUCGCGAAAAAAAUUCAGCUAAUGCAAUUUUGUUCUUGUCGUUACUGUCACAAAAUGUCUCGGGUAAUCGUGAUUUUAUUGUACUCCACGUGGGGUUGCAUGCUAACUAAUUAUAUUAUCCUGUGUCAAGGUUAUCUUAUCCUACGUAUUCGUCACGAAUUCGGUGUAAGUUUUGCGAAAGGAUGUUAUUGCACUUACUUGACGAGUGAGAGCACAUUAUGUUAGAUAGAGAUUAUCUAGAUUAUCGCUGUGGGUUUUUGUUGAAAAACCUUUAUUCGUUCCUAUAAUACUUACGACGAAAGUGAUACACGCCUACAACAUCAAUUUUAAUGAAUCUAAUGAAUCUAAUGAUAGAUCUCAGAAAAAUAUU